rfam:Eutrema salsugineum unplaced genomic scaffold scaffold_17, whole genome shotgun sequence.
UGGAGAAAUAUGAUGAUAAAUCAGAAAAUAUCUUAGGACACCUUCUGACGCAGUUUCUGCGUAUGAGAAAGACUUCUUAUUCUGAUUCUCCA